rnacentral:rRNA from 1 species
GACGAACGCUGGCGGCGUGCUUAACACAUGCAAGUCGAACGGAAAGGCCCUGCUUUUGUGGGGUGCUCGAGUGGCGAACGGGUGAGUAACACGUGAGUAACCUGCCCUUGACUUUGGGAUAACUUCAGGAAACUGGGGCUAAUACCGGAUAGGAGCUCCUGCUGCAUGGUGGGGGUUGGAAAGUUUCGGCGGUUGGGGAUGGACUCGCGGCUUAUCAGCUUGUUGGUGGGGUAGUGGCUUACCAAGGCUUUGACGGGUAGCCGGCCUGAGAGGGUGACCGGCCACAUUGGGACUGCGAUACGGCCCAGACUCCUACGGGAGGCAGCAGUGGCGAAUAUUGCACAAUGGGCGGAAGCCUGAUGCAGCAACGCCGCGUGCGGGAUGACGGCCUUCGGGUUGUAAACCGCUUUCGCCUGUGACGAAGCGUGAGUGACGGUAAUGGGUAAAGAAGCACCGGCUAACUACGUG